rnacentral:rRNA from 1 species
AUUGAACGCUGGCGGCAUGCUUUACACAUGCAAGUCGAACGGUAACAGGCCGCAAGGUGCUGACGAGUGGCGAACGGGUGAGUAAUGCAUCGGAACGUGCCCAGUCGUGGGGGAUAACGCAGCGAAAGCUGCGCCAAUACCGCAUACGAUCUAUGGAUGAAAGCGGGGGACCGUAAGGCCUCGCGCGAUUGGAGCGGCCGAUGUCAGAUUAGGUAGUUGGUGGGGUAAAGGCUCACCAAGCCGACGAUCUGUAGCUGGUCUGAGAGGACGACCAGCCACACUGGGACUGAGACACGGCCCAGACUCCUACGGGAGGCAGCAGUGGGGAAUUUUGGACAAUGGGGGCAACCCUGAUCCAGCAAUGCCGCGUGCAGGAAGAAGGCCUUCGGGUUGUAAACUGCUUUUGUACGGAACGAAACGGCUCUGGUUAAUACCUGGGGCUAAUGACGGUACCGUAAGAAUAAGCACCGGCUAACUACGUGCCAGCAGCCGCAGUAAUAC